UACGUAGGAGGCGAGCGUUGUCCGGAGUUACUGGGCGUAAAGCGCACGCAGGCGGCCAACUAAGUCACACGUGAAAUCCCCAGGCCUUAACCUGGGAACUGCGUGUGAUACUGGAUGGCUUGAAUUCGGGAGAGGGAUGCAGAAUUCCAGGUGUAGCGGUGAAAUGCGUAGAUAUCUGGAGGAAUACCGGUGGCGAAGGCGGCAUCCUGGACCGACAUUGACGCUGAACGGCGAAAGCUAGGGGAGCAAACGGG
rnacentral:rRNA from 1 species